AAAGUCAGUGGAUCCAUUUACAACAGAAGAUCUCUGGCUCUUAGGAACUGAAACUUGCUUGAUUAAUGACAGGUUUCAGAGUAGCAGCCGAGUUAGUCUGUAUCCGAAAGGGGAAAAGGCGUACUUGUGGCACCUUAGAGACUAACCAAUUUAUUUGAGCAUGAGCUUUCGUGAGCUACAGCU